UAAAUAAAUCCUGUGGUAAUUGCUUCGUUAUCUGUUUCAUAUUGACUGAAUAUAUGAAUCUAUUUUCAGUUGUGAUUCAGAAGAGAAAAACAGAAGAAUGAAAAUAAGAGAUAAAAUAUUAAUACAGAAAUACUUUUUAAACAUCUUCAAUGGAAUUUUCUUGGUAAAAAUCCUGAAUUUUUGUUGUUUAGCAACUUCAUAUGAAUUAUUUUUGAAAUGUUUGAAUUGAAGCAAUAAUCCUUGUUAUUUCCAGGUUCCGGGUCUUGUGCUUUUGCAAUUCGGCCUGUGGCUUUUAUAUGACAGAAACAAUUUAUUCAGUGUGUUAUUUUCUUCAGGUGACAGUCGGCUAGUAACAUAUAUUUCUUGUAUGUUCCUUGGAGCUGGAUCUAUUAUAAUUUUUACAUCAGCCAUGGGAUUCCUUGGAAGUGUUAAGGAAAUCAAAUGUCUACUAGUUAUAUAUAUGAGUUUUCAAAUCCUGGUGUUUGGCACCCAAUUUGCAAUAUCAGUGCUGACAU
rnacentral:lncRNA from 1 species